CGAGCCGGGCGGACGGCCGCGUGGAGUCCCCCUGAGGGGCUCCCCGAGGAACGUCCGGACUCCACAGAGCAGGGUGGUGGCUAACGGCCACCCGGGGUGACCCGCGGGACAGUGCCACAGAAAACAAACCGCCCAGCACUUCGGUGCCGGGUAAGGGUGAAACGGUGGUGUAAGAGACCACCAGUGCCCAGGGUGACCUGGGCAGCUAGGUAAACCCCACCCGGAGCAAGGUCAAAAGGAGCGCCGUAAAAAGUGCUCUGCGCGCACGUCUGAGGGCUGCUCGCCCGAGUCCGCGGGUAGACCGCAUGAGACCGGCGGCAACGCCGGCCCUAGAUGGAUGGCCGUCUCCCCGGUUGCCGCGAGGCGACUGGGUGACAGAAUCCGGCGUACAGCCUGACUCGUCUG
rnacentral:RNase_P_RNA from 1 species